rnacentral:lncRNA from 1 species
CUUAGCAUAGAAAAGAGCACACAUUUGGUAAGUUAAAAACAGUUUACUUACAAACCCUCCAAAGGUCAGGUUCAUGUGCUUCCAUACAUCGCUCAGAAAACACAGGCAGUAGAACUUGGCUUAGUUACCGUGGUGAAAAUGGUAGUACAUAAAUAAGGGAUGCCUAACGGAGGGUCUCUCCCCAGAUGAUUUCAGGGGACAAGGAGGAGGUCUCUCACUCUUUCAGUGCGCAAAGUGCUAAACACAAAUACGUGUUAUCAGACACCUUUCACAACAGCCUUGUAAAGUAGGUCAGCCUCCAGACCCAGAUAAAGCACUGCCUCCCCUGCUGUUCCAUGCUCAGGCCCUGCUUAUGGCAGAUAAGAUUAGACCAGGGGUUGCCAACAUGGCGCCCUUCAGGUGUUCUCCUGGUGCUCACAAAGCCUUUGAUCUCUGCUACCACCCUGCCACUGGUAGGAAUAUGAGGGGCAUGUGUGGCAGAAGUAGACUGUGGGAAGCACAAAGGCAGGAAAGCAAAGUGAGGAAUGGACUCACUGCCUUGCCUGCCCUGUGGCGGGGGGGAGAGUGGAUACCUUUUUCUCCCUUGAAAAGUAUGCAGAGCUAAAAGAGAAAGCUGGAAGUGUGACUCUCCCUCCUGGUUUUUUCAGCUCUUUCAGAGCUCAGAUUAAUUUGUCCAAUUCCUACUUAUACUCAACCACGUUGGGAAAGUGAAAUAUGCGCUAUCUCGCUCUCUCUCUUGUGCGGGGGGCACGGGGGGGGUCUCAUAUGGAGGGGGGAAGAUAGAAGUGACCGGAAGGGGUAAGAGUCACAAACCCCCAAAAGGAUGGAAAUGCCUGGAUUAAACAUACAGUGGUACCUCUGGAUACGAAUGGGAUCUGUUCCAGAGCCCUGUUCGCAUCUAGAACCAAACGUAACUAGCGACGGCAUGUCUGCGCGCGCACACGUGCAUCGCUUUUCACUGCUUCUGCGCAUGCGAGUGACGUCAUUUUGAGUGUUUGCGCAUGUGCAAGCUGCGAAACCCGGAAGUAACACGCUCCGUUACUUCCGGGUUGCCGCGGAGCGCGACUCGAACUCGCUCAACCCAAAGCGCAUUCAACCCGAGGUAUGACUGUACCUCGGGUUACAUAUGCUUCAGGUUACAGACUCUGCUAACCCAGAAAUAGUAACUUGGAUUAAGAACUUUACUUCAGGAUGAGAACAGAAAUCGCGCCGCAGUAGCAGCAGCAGGAGGCCCCAUUAGCUAAAGUGGUGCUUCAGGUUAAGAACAGUUUCAGGUUAAGAACGGACCUCCGGAAUGAAUUAAGUACUUAACCCGAGGUACCACUGUAUUCAGAUAAAUAGCUGCAGCAGACUGGAUUUCCCCUCCUCACACAGUCUAUCACUCCUUCCUCUGAUCACUUCAGGAGGUGCAGCAGCAAAACUGUGACACAAGCCUUCUUGUCUGAAUAACCUACUUCUCUCUCUCUCUCUCUCUCUCUCUCUCUCUCUCCCUCCCCCGCUUUAAGAUUUCCCAAUGGAUAGAACGUGGUUACAAGAUUGACUUCAAUUGAUUAAAUGAGAUAGCUUCUCCCACCACCCCUGCUGAAACCAGAGACCUCCCAUUUAUCAUCAGAAAUGUAACAAAGGAACACGCUGAACCAUUAGUAAAUGAAGCACGCUGAUUUUAAGUACGGGGAGUUAAGGAGGCAGAAAGAAUUGCUUUUGCCGCUGGAGACCAUUACUGCUACAUUAAAGCCACAAUCCCAUACACACUUAUA